rnacentral:rRNA from 1 species
UGCCCCAGUAACGGCGAGUGAAGCGGCAACAGCUCAAAUUUGAAAUCUGGCUCUCAGGGCCCGAGUUGUAAUUUGUAGAGGAUGCUUUUGGCGAGGUGCCUUCCGAGUUCCCUGGAACGGGACGCCACAGAGGGUGAGAGCCCCGUAUGGUCGGACACCGAGCCUCUGUAAAGCUCCUUCGACGAGUCGAGUAGUUUGGGAAUGCUGCUCAAAAUGGGAGGUAUAUGUCUUCUAAAGCUAAAUAUUGGCCAGAGACCGAUAGCGCACAAGUAGAGUGAUCGAAAGAUGAAAAGCACUUUGAAAAGAGGGUUAAAAAGUACGUGAAAUUGUUGAAAGGGAAGCGCCUAUGACCAGACUUGCGCCCGGUGAAUCACCCAGCGUUCUCGCUGGUGCACUUUGCCGGGCACAGGCCAGCAUCAGUUCAGCGCGGGGGAGAAAGGCUUCGGGAAUGUGGCUCCCUCGGGAGUGUUAUAGCCCGCUGCGUAAUGCCCUGCGCCGGACUGAGGUACGCGCAUUGCAAGGAUGCUGGCGUAAUGGUCAUCAGCGACCCGUCUUGAAACACGGACCAAGGAGUCGUCUUCGUAUGCGAGUGUUCGGGUGUCAAACCCCUACGCGUAAUGAAAGUGAACGUAGGUGAGAGCUUCGGCGCAUCACCGACCGAUCCUGAUGUUCUCGGAUGGAUUUGAGUAAGAGCAUACGGGGCCGGACCCGAAAGAAGGUGAACUAUGCCUGUAUAGGGUGAAGCCAGAGGAAACUCUGGUGGAGGCUCGCAGCGGUUCUGACGUGCGAAUCGAUCGUCAAAUAUGGGCAUGGGGGCGAAAGACUAAUCGAACCUUCUAGUAGCUGGUUUCCGCCGA